CCCCGAGGGUUCGCGUGAGCGGAGCACGGGGCUCGGGGUGCGGGGGGCUGGUGUGAUGGACGCAUUUGUUCUUCGGUCCCUGACGAUUGUUUCUCAUUUGCCCUCCAAGCCCCAAAUCCUGUCAGUCCACGGCCUUGAUGGAGCGGCCCCCGUGGGACGACCCUGUUGAUUGUGCUAGCGGAUGUUGUCUCCAUUCUGGAUCUGGGAAAAACUGUGGAGUGAAAGCCGGACCUGUUAGGGUUGGGACCUGAAAGCGGACUUUUUCGCUCUCAGACGGGCCCCAGACGGGAGCUCUUUCAGGCCAGUGGUUUGUUGUUCAUCAAGAUAUCCAAGUACCCGGCAACAUUCCUGGCAUAUAAUAGGAAGGCAGAUCUGGUGAAUGAAUGAAUGAAUGGCGGUAUCUGGAGCAGAGACAAUGUAUGUAUAUAUUGCUAUUUAUAUAAUGUCUGCCCCCCCAGUCAUUUUGCCCUUCAGCCCCAAAAUGGCAUAGCAAAACCCCCCUUCCAGUAAGACGCUUAAGAUGAUUCAAUUCCUUGAGAUCCUUCUAUUUUUUUAAGUGUUAUUGCAAUAUAUUGAUAUACAAUAAACUGUACAUAUUUAAA
rnacentral:lncRNA from 10 species